rnacentral:lncRNA from 1 species
AAAAUGUCAUUGGAAAAGUUUUAUUGAAAAAAAAAAUGUACAAAUAAGUUCUUGGAUUGAUAGCAACAAAGGCUCAUGUUCCCCCUUCCCUCCCUAUCUUUGAAGAACUAAAAAAGGAAGAAACAAAACAAAAAGUUCAUCCCCACAACGCCAGACACGAUGCUUCUUGACCAGAGUCUGCCCAGAAGCCCCUCCUGGGAGCUCCUUCUCAAUCCGCCUCACUGCGGCCAGGUCAUUCUGGGGGUGCCUGGUCCCAGGGGCUGCAGCACCUAGUUUUAUAGUUGGGAGAGGUUGGGAUAGAGCUGGGGAGGCAGCUGAGGUGUUUUAGUGUCAGAAGAGGGCUGGCUGACCCCCCUAGCUCAAUUUGGUCUCACAGGUGAGAAGGCAGGCUUGAUCUGGGACUUUCAGGGCAGGCAGAAUGACUAUGGCCCAGGUCCCACAGGAUGUGGAGUUUCCGGGCUCAGCAUCAUGGUAUCUGGGGCCCAUGUCCAAGUGGAGUGAAUUCUAGCUGGGAAGGUCCGCUCAGGCACACGGGAACCCCGGUCUGUUUUUCCACCCCCACCCCAUGGAGUAUCCAAGGCUGGUACCUCACCUCCCCCCCAACCCCAAUAGCACCCAUGUGUCUCAGGAGCCUUUGGAUGCCUCCUGCCAUCCUGUGUGCACCCUGAGGCCCUAUAACUCGUCUCGCAUCUUGUCACCCUUAGGCCGGACCAGGCGCCCAAUGAAU